rfam:Triticum urartu cultivar G1812 contig250181, whole genome shotgun sequence.
AAGAUACUUCCUCCGUUCCACAAUACAUGACUUCUAUUUGUCAAAAUAUAGAUGUAUCUAGACAUGUUUUAGUAUAUAGGUACAUCCAUUUUUAAACAAAUAGAAGUCUAAGUAUUUUGGAACGGAGGUGGUACAUA